rnacentral:tRNA from 1 species
GGGCCGAUAGUGAAAUAAAAUGCGGAGAACUAGCAUCUACAUGAAGUCAGGUCAUUCACGCCGUCUUCGCAAGGCGGAGCUCCCGGGUUCAAAUCCCGGUCGGUCCA